GGUUCAGAGGCAAGUCAUCUUCUGGUUGCACUGCUGGACUAUGGUCAAGUGAAGGAACUCCCUGACCAGCUGAGACUUGGUUAUGCAAAUUUAGUAAGAUGCCUCAUUGGCUUUACAGAGCUUUAGGGAGUUGAGAGAUCGUUAAUUAAGAAGAAACUGAGUAGUAAAAGGAGAAGAGCUUGACAAAUGACAAAAGAAGAAGUCAAAUGUUGAAAAUAGUAAGGGUGAAGGAGCUUCGGGGUGGAGUAGAAGGUUUCAAAUGAUCAAAUAAAAGGCAUAAUGGUUGUAUCCCUUGUUAAAAAAAUCGGCCGAUUCGCCGUUUAAUCUCUAGGCAGCAAGGAACCGCCGCGAUUAUAUUCAAAUCGGAUCAAAAAUCGGAUAAAAAUAAAAUUUAUUUUUAAUUGAUUUUUCACUUAAAUAUGAUGUUAAAGGUGGAGAUCUACUAUUUCUAUGUUAUAACCAGAUGAAAAUAUGAUGAAAUC